GACGAACGCUGGCGGCGUGCUUAACACAUGCAAGUCGAACGGAAAGGCCCCUUUGGGGGUACUCGAGUGGCGAACGGGUGAGUAACACGUGAGUAACCUGCCCUUGACUUCGGGAUAACUUCAGGAAACUGGGGCUAAUACCGGAUAGGAAUCCUUGCUGCAUGGUGGGGGUUGGAAAGCUUCGGCGGUUUUGGAUGGACUCGCGGCUUAUCAGCUUGUUGGUGGGGUAGUGGCUUACCAAGGCUUUGACGGGUAGCCGGCCUGAGAGAGCGACCGGCCACAUUGGGACUGAGAUACGGCCCAGACUCCUACGGGAGGCAGCAGUGGGGAAUAUUGCACAAUGGGCGGAAGCCUGAUGCAGCAACGCCGCGGGCGGGAUGACGGCCUUCGGGUUGUAAACCGCUUUCAGCAGGGGCGAAGCUUGUGGUGACGGUACCUGCAGAAGAAGCACCGGCUAACUACGUG
rnacentral:rRNA from 1 species